rnacentral:rRNA from 1 species
GUGUCAGCAGCCGCGGUAAAACGUAGGAGGCGAGCGUUAUUCGGAUUUACUGGGCGUAAAGCGCGUGCAGGCGGUUCGGAAAGUUGGAUGUGAAAGCUCCUGGCUUAACUGGGAGAGGUCGUUCAAUACUUCCGGACUAGAGGAUGAGAGAGGGAGGUGGAAUUCCGGGUGUAGUGGUGGAAUGCGUAGAUAUCCGGAGGAACACCAGUGGCGAAAGCGGCCUCCUGGCUCAUAACUGACGCUAAGACGCGAAAGCUAGGGUAGCAAACGGGAUUAGAAACCCUUGUAGUCC